GGCUCAGUAACACGUCGGUAACCUACCCUCGGGAGGGGGAUAACCCCGGGAAACUGGGGCUAAUCCCCCAUAGGUCUGAGGUACUGGAAGGUCCUCGGGCCGAAAGGGACUCUGUCCGCCCGAGGAUGGGCCGGCGGCCGAUUAGGUAGUUGGUGGGGUAACGGCCCACCAAGCCUAAGAUCGGUACGGGCCAUGAGAGUGGGAGCCCGGAGAUGGACACUGAGACAAGGGUCCAGGCCCUACGGGGCGCAGCAGGCGCGAAACCUCCGCAAUGCGGGAAACCGCGACGGGGGGACCCCCAGUGCCGUGGCAAUGCCACGGCUUUUCCGGAGUGUAAGGAGCUCCGGGAAUAAGGCUGGGCAAGCCGGUGGCAGCCGCGGUAAUACCGGCGGCCCGAGUGGUGGCCACUAUUAUUGGGCCUAAAGCGUCCGUAGCCGGGCCCGUAAGUCUCUGACGAAAUCUCACGGCUCAACCGUGGGGCUCGCUGGGGAUACUGCGGGCCUUGGGACCGGGAGAGGCGGAUGGUACCCCUGGGGUAAGGGUGAAAUCCUAUAAUCCCAGGGGGACCGCCAGUGGCGAAGGCGCUCCGCUGGAACGGGUCCGACGGUGAGGGACGAAGGCCAGGGGAGCAAACCGGAUUAGAUACCCGGGUAGUCCUGGCUGUAAAGGACGCGGGCUAGGUGUCGGGUGAGCUUCGGGCUCGCCCGGUGCCGGAGGGAAGCCGUUAAGCCCGCCGCCUGGGGAGUACGGCCGCAAGGCUGAAACUUAAAGGAAUUGGCGGGGGAGCACCACAAGGGGUGGAGCGUGCGGUUUAAUUGGAUUCAACGCCGGGAACCUCACCGGGGGCGACGGCAGGAUGAAGGCCAGGCUGAAGGUCUUGCCGGACACGCCGAGAGGAGGUGCAUGGCCGCCGUCAGCUCGUACCGUGAGGCGUCCACUUAAGUGUGGUAACGAGCGAGACCCGUGCCCCCAGUUGCCAGUCUUCCCCGUUGGGGAGGAGGCACUCUGGGGGGACCGCCGGCGAUAAGCCGGAGGAAGGAGCGGGCGACGGUAGGUCAGUAUGCCCCGAAACCCCCGGGCUACACGCGCGCUACAAUGGGCGGGACAAUGGGAUCCGACCCCGAAAGGGGAAGGGAAUCCCCUAAACCCGCCCCCAGUUCGGAUUGCGGGCUGCAACUCGCCCGCAUGAAGCUGGAAUCCCUAGUACCCGCGUGUCAUCAUCGCGCGGCGAAUACGUCCCUGCUCCUUGCACACACCGCCCGUCACUCCACCCGAGCGGGGUCCGGGUGAGGCUUGGUCUCCCUUCGGGGAGGCCGGGUCGAGCCCGGGCUCCGUGAGGGGGGAGAAGUCGUAACAAGGUAGCCGUA
rnacentral:rRNA from 1 species